rnacentral:rRNA from 1 species
GACAGAGGGUGCAAACGUUGUUCGGAAUUACUGGGCGUAAAGCGCGUGUAGGCGGCUUUGCAAGUCGGAUGUGAAAUCCCACGGCUCAACCGUGGAAGUGCAUUCGAAACUGCAAGGCUAGAGUUCUGGAGAGGAAGGUGGAAUGCUUGGUGUAGAGGUGAAAUUCGUAGAUAUCAAGCGGAACACCGGUGGCGAAGGCGGCCUUCUGGACAGUAACUGACGCUGAGACGCGAAAGCGUGGGGAGCAAACAGG